UGGUUACAAAAUGACCCACAAUAGUCCGGUAACGCAGGUGUAAUAGCCGCUCUUCAGCGGACUCUUGGUCACUAUUAGGACGGCUUUACCCUCGUAUUGUAGUUUAUUUAUUUGAACCAAUAUCCUUUAUCGCACAAAUCAUAGAGAACGUAUUACAGAGUGAUGUUAUGGAGAUACAGUUACACCCUUUAUAUGCCAUGGCCUGGACACUGUUAUUAGUGAAAUGUGAUGUCAUAGUUACACAUUCCGUACUUACUACUGCUCCAAGGCUGCAGCAGGUCACUGCACCCCUGACCAUCCAGAACAUCAGACGUGUCUUGCUUCAGAAAAAUGGCAGAAAAGAUGGAUUUUAUCCAGGUCUGUGCCCAAAGCAUGGCCCGCUUUUACACCAGCGUUGUCCUGGCAUUUGACGAAGUGGAAGACAGCAUCAGUAGAGUACAAUACCAUCGCAGACUGAAAAAGAUGGAGAAAAAGAGAAAUAAGACCAAGACUCCACGCCUCUCAUGGGGCAACUCAUGGAGCAAUGACAACGCCUAUGAGAGGUUGAUUUAAAAAAAAAAAAAAACCAUCAAAACAAAAAACCAUCCAAAAAAAAACCAGCAUCAAAAAAUAAAAAAAAAAUAUCAAUGGGGGGGUAUUGUCGUACUGAGGUGGAUGUUGAGGGCAGCUGUGAUCAUGUGGUAAUUUUCUUGACUCUAGGAGAGGCUGGUAGACUGGAGGAAGUGUUG